rnacentral:rRNA from 1 species
UACGUAGGGUGCAAGCGUUGUCCGGAAUUAUUGGGCGUAAAGAGCUCGUAGGCGGCUUGUCACGUCGACUGUGAAAACCCGGGGCUCAACUCCGGGCCUGCAGUCGAUACGGGCUGGCUUGAGUGCGGUAGGGGAGACUGGAAUUCCCGGUGUAGCGGUGAAAUGCGCAGAUAUCGGGAGGAACACCAAUGGCGAAGGCAGCUCGCUGGGACGGUACUGACGCUGAGACGCGAAAGCGUGGGGAGCAAACAGG